rnacentral:lncRNA from 1 species
AACCACUUACCAUGAUUUUCAAAGCACAAUUUAUUCUGUUUUAUUUAUUGUUAUUUUUAUUUUUUCUCUCCAGGCCGUAACUUACUGACUUGAAACCGAUCUUCAGCCUUGUAUACUCCAUAAUGAAAAAUGCAAUGCUUGAUUCAAUGCGGAAGAACUGCUCUCCGCCACCCCAAAGUCCUCUAUGAAAUGGAAUAAGGAAACAAGUGACUGAAGGUUUCUCAGUCAACCUUGCUUCUCAGAAGGAGCAACAAAAGUCUAUCUUCAAUUUCACUCAUAGAAACUGAUCUCCUUAAGGUUGGACUGCCAAAGGUGCAGGCUUUCCUGAGGAAUCGCAGGGAGGAAGAGCUAUGGGGACACCUUGCAGGCAAGAUGUGAAAAUGACUUCAGCAGAGCCUCUACUACUUCAGGACACAACUGGGCUGGGCAUGCUUCCAGUGAGCUUCAUCACAGCUUGGCUCACGAGUGGCCCUGCAACCCUACCCCAGCACCAUAAGCAAGUGUCACUGAGUUCAAUCUAAGGAAGUCCCCAGGCUGCUCCUACUCUGAGAAACUGCACUUCUGAAUUUGACUCUGUGAGCUGAAGGUGACAUAAUGUACAGAUCAACGAUAAGUGAAAGAAAUUCAGCAGUAAGAGAAGCUUGGAGAUAAUAAAAAUGGCAGCAAAUAAUCUGGCCCA